UACGAACCGUGCGAACGUUGUUCGGAAUCACUGGGCUUAAAGGGCGCGUAGGCGGGCUGUCAAGUCUGGGGUGAAAUGCCGCGGCUCAACCGUGGAACUGCCUUAGAUACUGACGGCCUCGAGGAAGGUAGGGGCAUGCGGAACUGUAGGUGGAGCGGUGAAAUGCGUUGAUAUCUACAGGAACUCCGGUGGCGAAAGCGGUGUGCUGGACCUUUUCUGACGCUGAGGCGCGAAAGCUAGGGGAGCAAACGGG
rnacentral:rRNA from 1 species